rnacentral:lncRNA from 1 species
GAAAGUUCAGAAGGAAGCCGAAACGGAGAAUGCGGAAGGAAGUAACUUAACAAAGAAGGGUGAGAAGUAAAUAGGGAUGAUUCAUUCUUCAGGGAAAUUUUGGUGUCAUGUAUUGGCCUUUGUCCGUUGGGUAACUGUCGUGUUGACUAAGGAAGGGAUGAUUCAUUCUUCAGGGAAUUUUUGGUGUCAUGUAUUGGCCUUUGUCCGUUGGGUAACUGUCGUGUUGACUAAGGACAAUGGUCUUAAGUCAAACCAGAAGCCUCCAAUAUUAAUUUAUUGGCUUUGGCUUUUUCUGGGUUCAAGAAAGAAAGUCCAAUACUAAAAGCUUGUGAACCUGGAAAUGCAAUGAAGUGCUUUGCAGAGGGAAACUGAAAAAGAGACAUUCACGUCGGGGCUCUUGGAGUGACUUGCAGAGAGAAGCUGAAGACAACACGCUGUUGUCUGGGCUCUUGGAUGAUGCAAGCAAUCCAUUGGUCUAAGAAUCGAUCACCUGGAUUUUAUUAUUGACGGGUGAUCAUGACUGCCGUCCCUCUGAAGAGUGUGCUGCAUGAUUAAACAGAACAUUGCAUUAAUAAUGCAAAUUUGGGUUUGCAUUUGCUGAACGAACAUGAUGGAG